GAGGAUUUGUUGAAAGAUUUAUUGCAUACGGAUCGGCUCGCGUGCCAUUAGGUAGACGGCGGGGUAACGGCCCACCGUGCCGACGAUGGCUAGGGGUUCUGAGAGGAAGGUCCCCCACAUUGGAACUGAGACACGGUCCAGACUCCUACGGGAGGCAGCAGUGAGGAAUAUUGGACAAUGGCCGGAAGGCUGAUCCAGCCAUGCCGCGUGCGGGAAGACGGCCCUAUGGGUUGUAAACCGCUUUUGCGAGGGAGCAAUAAGGGCAACGUGUUGUCCGAUGAGAGUACCUCGCGAAUAAGCAUCGGCUAACUCCGUGCCAGCAGCCGCGGUAAUACGGAGGAUGCAAGCGUUAUCCGGAUUUAUUGGGUUUAAAGGGUGCGCAGGCGGCUUGUUAAGCGGGAGGUGAAAUGCCGGCGCUCAACGUCGGAAGUGCCUCCCGAACUGGUGAGCUUGAAUGACUCUGCCGUGGGAGGAAUGUGUAGUGUAGCGGUGAAAUGCUUAGAGAUUACACAGAACACCGAUUGCGAAGGCAUCUCACGAAGGGUUGAUUGACGCUGAGGCACGAAAGCGUGGGGAUCAA
rnacentral:rRNA from 1 species